rnacentral:pre_miRNA from 1 species
UGGCUACAAAAUAACUUAUUCUGUAGCCACUGUGAGUUACGAUAAUUACUAUAUUAAUUUACGAGAUUAUAGUAACUCCAUACUAAGUGAUUUACUAUAACGUUAUGGUAAAUAUCUCCAUGUAUUAUAGUAACCCAACUAUUGUAAAUAUGUAUUGCCAUUAUCGUUAAUUAGCAUAUAAAAUUAUCGUAAAUAGAGGAGGCUACAGAAUAACUACUUAUUUUGUAGCUG